rnacentral:rRNA from 1 species
GACGAACGCUGGCGGCGUGCUUAACACAUGCAAGUCGAACGGAAAGGCCCUGCUUUUGUGGGGUGCUCGAGUGGCGAACGGGUGAGUAACACGUGAGUAACCUGCCCUUGACUUUGUGAUAACUUCAGGAAACUGGGGCUAAUACCGGAUAGGAGCUCCUGCUGCAUGGUGGGGGUUGGAAAGUUUCGGCGGUUGGGGAUGGACUCGCGGCUUAUCAGCUUGUUUGUGGGGUAGUGGCUUACCAAGGCUUUGACGGGUAGCCGGCCUGAGAGGGUGACCGGGCACAUUGGGACUGAGAGACGGCGCAGACGCCUACGGGGGGCAGCGGUGGGGAAUAUUGCACAAUGGGCGGAAGCCUGAUGCAGCGACGCCGCGUGCGGGAUGACGGGCUUCGGGUGGUAAACCGCUUUCGCCUGUGACGAGGCGUGAGUGACGGUAAUGGGUAAAGAAGCACCGGCUAACUACGUG